GGUGUGUGUGUGUGUGUGUGUGUGUGUGUGGUGUGUGGUGGGUGUGUGUGGUUGUGUGAUACAAAUCAACGUCAAAUUGUGUUAAAAGUUGUGAUAACAAGCAGGUCAACUAUUGUACUCUAUGUCUAGAUUGUGGAGCGUUUGCUGGUUAGUAAAAAAAGCCCUCAUUCAACAGUAGUGUGUGUGUGUGUGUAUUUGGUAACACUAUACAGCUGCCUUUUUUCUGUUUUUACCCAGCAAAAUGUAUUUCUAACAAUAGAAAAUCCUUUUGUUGAAGUGAAUUUGGAUUUUUACAGGUGUAUAAAGGCCAUAGUUACAUUUAAGAUCAAAUAAAUGUGGAUGUUUGACAAACUAAAGUGAAUACAGUACUUGUCAAAAGUAAAGUGUUAACACCCUUUUUACGUUAAAACUAACAUUUGUGUCAUAAAUUGUAAUAUAUGAAGAAAGUAGCCCGUUUUUGGCUGUGUGUAUUUCAGCUGCAGCAGUUGUAUUAGCCUUUAAAACUUCAUGACAUGUUAGUUCAUCUGCCAAAGGCUUUAAUAAUUUAAUAAAGGUAAUUUUUUCAUUUUUACCAGGGAUGGCGAUUGUAGUUAAAAGUUUUCAUCUGGAUAAUUAUAAAUUAGACUGAUGCUAAUCAUCAGUCUGCCUGAUAAAAGUCACAAAUGUCAGCUGCAGACUAAACUCUCUUAAAAGCAAUUUUUCAUUAUUCUACAUUAUGUUGAAAUACCUAUUAUUCGUUCCCAGGUGUGUAUUUUUAAAUUGUAUUUUUUUCACUGUAGGAAUGCACUUUUUGCUCAAAAGUUCUUCAACGAUCUGUAGCUUUAUUUUUCACUUUAUUUAGCUGCAGUAAGCAAUUAUUAAAAAUAAAUUGAGCAGAAAUGGGAGAUGUGUUUUCUCCUUUCUGAAGGAGUCAUCCCUGGUUUAACUGACAACUGUGUGUGUGUGUGUGUGUGUGUGUGGUGGUUGUGUGUGUGUGUGUGAUCUCUACUUUAUCCAAUACUGUUUUCUUCCAUCGCACUGAACUGCAUUUUCUACCAACUCUGAGCCACUACGCUGCCACAUUCAUACUAAUGUUAAUAAUGUUCAGACUCAAUAAUCACAAUUAAAAACCCGAUGACAUCAUCACCGAGCAUCGGCCGUCGCCGACCCACCGUCUGCUAAACCGUGGCUCCUUGGUGUGAACAGUGUUUUGUGUGACCAACGUGGUCGAUGUAGAACAAACCCCACGGCUCGCUUCUCAGAAGAAGGAAAACCGCCGUGGGGGAUUGACCUAACGGCGGUUUUGUGGGUUCUAGCUGUGUCAUAGGUAACGAGCCUCUGCUUGUUAAAAAUAAACCGUGUUGUGCUGUUUGAACAUU